CAAGACUCAAGCUUCUCUGCUUGGUGUUGGGCGUCUGUCCGCGCUUCCGCGCAGGACUCGCCCCAAAGUCAUUGGCAGCCCAGGCCGUCCGACCCGCCCGCAGCACAUUGCGUUCGGCGAGUCGAGCGGCGGCCCCGGCGUCCAGCAAAAGGACCCUUUCUCAG
rnacentral:misc_RNA from 4 species